rnacentral:rRNA from 1 species
CGAACGGUAACAGGUCUUCGGAUGCUGGCGAGUGGCGAACGGGUGAGUAAUACAUCGGAACGUGCCCAGUAAUGGGGGAUAGCUCGGCGAAAGCCGGAUUAAUACCGCAUACGCCCUGAGGGGGAAAGUGGGGGAUCGCAAGACCUCACGUUAUUGGAGCGGCCGAUGGCUGAUUAGCUAGUUGGUAGGGUAAAGGCCUACCAAGGCGACGAUCAGUAGCUGGUCUGAGAGGACGAUCAGCCACACUGGGACUGAGACACGGCCCAGACUCCUACGGGAGGCAGCAGUGGGGAAUUUUGGACAAUGGGGGAAACCCUGAUCCAGCAAUGCCGCGUGUGCGAAGAAGGCCUUCGGGUUGUAAAGCACUUUUGUCAGGGCAGAAAUCCUUUGGGCUAAUACCCUAGGGGGAUGACGGUACCUGAAGAAUAAGCACCGGCUAACUACGUGC